rnacentral:lncRNA from 12 species
GACAUGAAUGUGUGCACAUGUUAGAGGCAGGAAACCAACACUUCCACCAGAAUACACAGCUGCUUCUUGGGUGAGGUCCCAGGGCAGCUCCAGGACUGUGCUCUCCCCAGGGAAGGAAGGGUCCUGCUGCUGGUGACCUGGCAGGGCACAUGGAGCUGCUGGCUGCCACAGCGCCAGAGAAAGCAGGGAAGGAUGCAACAGCACCACAAGCCGAGGCGGAAGGAGCAGAAGAAGCAGCUGCAGUGCCAGAGGCAGAAAGCCUCGUGGGAACAGCUCAAAGGGAAGAGGAAGAACAUGUGGAUAAAGCCAAGGAACACCACUCAGCAGGAAGAGGAUUGGAUGAAAGAGGCAGAGGUGAAAUGAAAUGGAGAGGUGAUGUUCUGGGUCAUACCUCCUAACUGGGGGCUUGUACCAUCACUCCUGGAAUGCAGUAGGACUGCCAAUCACACCUCUUUUGUGUCUCACUAUACUAUUAAAAAUAAACACAUGGCAUAUUCUGCAUGCAAUAGUGUUGAGGGUCUGUCAGAGGUCUUUG